CCUACGGGAGGCAGCAGUGGGGAAUAUUGGGCAAUGGGCGAAAGCCUGACCCAGCAACGCCGCGUGAGGGAAGAAGGCUCUCGGGUUGUAAACUUCUUUUCUCAGGGAAGAAAAAAGUGACGGUACCUGAGGAAUCAGCCACGGCUAACUACCCGCCAGCAGCCGCGGUAAUACGGAGGGGGCCAGCGUUAUGCGGAUUUACUGGUUGUAAAGGGCGUGUAGGCGGGAAAGCAAGGCAGAGGUGAAAACCACGGGCUCAACCUGUGGACUGCAUUGGAAACUGGUUUUCUUGAGUACUGGAGAGGCAGACGGAAUGCCUAGUGUAGCGGUGAAAUGCGUAGAUAUUAGGAGGAACACCGGUGGCGAAGGCGGUCUGCUGGACAGCAACUGACGCUGAGGCGCGAAAGCGUGGGGAGCAAACAGGAUUAGAUACCCGAGUAGUC
rnacentral:rRNA from 1 species